UGUGGUUAUAAAUGCCUUUAUAUUCAGGCUGACUUGAUUAUUGUGCCAUAGUUUAUAUGCCGAGUCAUCAGUGAUAUUCAUUGUGCAACAAGCAGAACUUUUUAUUAACUGUUGCUACAUCACUGAGGUGAUGAGGUUACUCUAUGCACUUCACAGCAUUGCAUCUUUUAAGAAAGAACUACAUUACAAACAACAAAAAAAGGGAGGAGGGGUGGGCAUUUAUGAGGAAGCUGGCUUCACGUGGUCUGCAAACUUUCAUUCAUUUUCGCAUCAUGCAUCCUUUUGGACUGAUGCUGAUUUUUUGCCUGCACCUUUGCUGUAAUGCACUACAAAAUGGAACGUGCAACAACUUCACAGUGGCAUUUAUAGAGACUGCAGAAAAAGUGUCUUAAAAGUGCUUUAAGGUGAUGGAUGGACAUGGUGCAAUUUGUUGGACUGGCCAUCCAACCCAGUCAUGUCAGAUAGACUAUAGAGAUGGCAAGACGUGCAUCAAGUGGCUGGUAGACACUGACCUCUCAUGUGUGAUGGAUUCUAAUGAGAUGCUUAAUACAGAAGAAAAAAAGUGUGCCCGUGACCAAGAAUCUAUCAGUUGCAAUGGAGAGUACAAAUCUGACUCAGAGCCCGGAGAUUCUGCAUCAACCCUGUCACUGAGCAUCCUUCUAAUUACAGCUGCUAUUACCUUUGUCCACUGAGUGUCACUAUGACAAUACUAAUAGUGUUCUGAGCUGCAUUAACACUGAACAAUUAUCUGUUGGAUUAACAUAAAAAAAAUGUACAUCGGUUGCACAUAUUUAUAUUAUGUUCUCUCAACAUUAUUUACCUCUGUUUAUGUAACCAACAUUUUUCAAAUGAAUGAUUUUUUAUGUUGUUUUUAUGCUUUUUAUUCCACAUUACCUCCUGUUGAUUUAACAUGAUUUUUGUUUAAAUGAACGUUAUGAGCUUUAACCACUAUAUGCAGUGGUGUUUCAGUAACUUAUAUAAGCUGCUUUUUUAAAUAAAUAAAAGCGUUUUAGCAAUCUUUAUAUUGUAGAUUUUUAAUUAAGGCAAUAAGCAAAAACAUUUAUUGGAAAAAAAUACUGUAUUUUUU
rnacentral:lncRNA from 1 species